GAUGAACGCUAGCUACAGGCUUAACACUUGCAAGUCGAGGGGCAGCAUGGUCUUAGCUUGCUAAGGCCGAUGGCGACCGGCGCACGGGUGAGUAACACGUAUCCAACCUGCCGUCUACUCUUGGACAGCCUUCUGAAAGGAAGAUUAAUACAAGAUGGCAUCAUGAGUCCGCAUGUUCACAUGAUUAAAGGUAUUCCGGUAGACGAUGGGGAUGCGUUCCAUUAGAUAGUAGGCGGGGUAACGGCCCACCUAGUCUUCGAUGGAUAGGGGUUCUGAGAGGAAGGUCCCCCACAUUGGAACUGAGACACGGUCCAAACUCCUACGGGAGGCAGCAGUGAGGAAUAUUGGUCAAUGGGCGAGAGCCUGAACCAGCCAAGUAGCGUGAAGGAUGACUGCCCUAUGGGUUGUAAACUUCUUUUAUAAAGGAAUAAAGUCGGGUAUGGAUACCCGUUUGCAUGUACUUUAUGAAUAAGGAUCGGCUAACUCCGUG
rnacentral:rRNA from 1 species